rnacentral:rRNA from 1 species
UAAGGAAUAUUGGUCAAUGGACGGAAGUCUGAACCAGCCAUGCCGCGUGGAGGAUGACGGCCCUCUGGGUUGUAAACUUCUUUUAUCUGGGACGAAACACUACUUUUCUAAGUAGCUUGACGGUACCAGGUGAAUAAGCACCGGCUAACUCCGUGCCAGCAGCCGCGGUAAUACGGAGGGUGCAAGCGUUAUCCGGAUUCACUGGGUUUAAAGGGUGCGUAGGCGGGCAUGUAAGUCUGUGGUGAAAUCUCCAAGCUUAACUUGGAAACUGCCAUGGAUACUAUAUGUCUUGAAUGUUGUGGAGGUUAGCGGAAUAUGUCAUGUAGCGGUGAAAUGCAUAGAUAUGACAUAGAACACCAAUUGCGAAGGCAGCUGGCUACACAAAUAUUGACGCUGAGGCACGAAAGCGUGGGGAUCAAACA